CACCGGGCGCGCUAACUCCCCGGCCUUGCCGCGAUCCCGUGCAUCCCACCCCCCACCCUCUCCGCCAGACUGCGAAGUUUCAGCCCUGGCACGUGACGCGGCGCUCAGGCCCCCCCCUCCCGGGGGAGGCGGCGACACAGACCGCUGGGCGGCGGGGGUCGCGUCCACCGAGGCGGUGAUGGCCUGCAGGGCGAGUGCAGGCGGGAGGCUGGUUGGACUUCAUCCUUGACUGUUCCCUGUCUGCGCCCCUUCCCGCCUCGCGUUCGGCGAUGACGGUGGAGUCACCUUUUGGAAUGCUGUCUAUUUGGCAGUGUCACGGGAGCUGGGGAGGACCUUUGAUCGCUUGGGACUCGGCACGACGCUUUGUUGACACCACCUACACUGUCCCUGAGUUUAGUAGUUGGACCUUCGUCCCUCACUUGGGUGCACCGUGUGUUACUGCCGGGCUUUUCCUGGAGGGACACCGGUCCCUGCUCUUUACCCAUUUGAUGGCGCAGUGCAGGGCUGAGCUGGGAACCGAUGCUGGGAAAAGGGGCCGUUAAAGGAAGAUGGGGGGGGGCGGGUAAUGAGUGCGCAGUGCCGGGAAGAGGCCAGAGAGAAACGACCCAUUUCAUUUUUUCACGCCUCUUUCUUUCUGCUUGCCUUCUUGGGAUCUGAGUCUUGAUUUUUUUUGUUGUUGUUAAUGGAUGAGACAAGUGACAUCUAUCGCCUGAACUUUAUCUGUGUCAGUGUUAAACACUUAGGUCAUAGCUUUCCAGAACAGCUUGCUUUGGACAUAGCAUGCCUUAUU